rnacentral:rRNA from 1 species
UACGUAGGGGGCAAGCGUUGUCCGGAUUUAUUGUGCGUAAAGCGCGUGUAGGCGGCCAGGUAGGUCCGCUGUGAAAACCCGAGGCUCAACCUCGGGACGUCGGCGGAAACCAUCUGGCUAGAGUCCGGAAGAGGAGAGUGGAAUUCCCGGUGUAGCGGUGAAAUGCGCAGAUAUCGGGAAGAACACCCGUGGCGAAGGCGGCUCUCUGGGACGGUACUGACGCUGAGACGCGAAAGCGUGGGGAGCGAACAGG